rnacentral:rRNA from 1 species
CCUUAAAAUUGCCGUUGANACUGUUUUUCUUGAGUAUAUUUGAAGUARGCGGAAUUCSUGGUGUAGCGGUGAAAUGCAUAGAUAUCACGAAGAACUCCAAUUGCGAAGGCAGCUUACUAAACUAUAACUGACGCUGAAGCACGAAAGCGUGGGUNNNNAACAGGAUUAGAUACCCUGGUAGUCCACGCCGUAAACGAUGAUUACUAGCUGUUUGUGAUAUUACAAUAAGCGGCUAAGCGAAAGCGAUAAGUAAUCCACCUGGGGAGUA